GUGCUAUUUUUGUGUUUUUAUAAUUUAAACAGAGAUAAUAAAGAGUAUUUUCAGUUUAACUUUGAUAAGAUAACAUCUUUUAGAUCUAUUUUAAUUUUAUGUGGUUACUUGUUUAAUUCUAAUUAAUUUUCCAAACUAUUUAGUUAGAGCAUAGAAGAUACCUAACCUACAAUGUUACCUUCACAAAGUAAGAAAGUAAAAAUAAAAGGAAAGAGCAAUAUCUCAUGCAGGAAACGAAACAAAAAUAAAGAUUGUUAUGAUACAUCUAAAAGGAAAAAGAAUUACAUCGCCGAGACUAAAUUAGUGAAUCUUCUGAUGAUUCGACAUCUCAUGCGGGAAACGAAACAAAAAUAAAGAUUGUUAUGAUAUAUCUAAAAGGAAAAAAGAAUUACAUCGCCGAGAAUAAAUUAGUGAAUCUUCUGAUGAUUCAUAAUUCAUAAUAAUAAAAAUGAAACACCUAAACAAAGUACCAUUAGCAUAAUUAUGAAAAAUAAAAUGAAGUAUUUGCAUAUAUGACAAAAAACAUAAGAAGAAAAAGCAAUUUAUGUAGUAAAAUAUAACAAAGUGUCACACCCUCUUCUCUUUAUUUUCUUGUUCUCUUUCAAAUCUGUUGAAAUAUGGACCAACCUUUUUUGAAAAGAAAAAAAAAAUGGGACACAUUUGUUGACAUUCAGCACACACAGUAGCAGCACACAGCAGCCAAGCAAACAAUUGUUGACUGGAC
rnacentral:lncRNA from 1 species